rnacentral:rRNA from 1 species
UACGAAGGGGACUAGCGUUGUUCGGAUUUACUGGGCGUAAAGCGCGCGUAGGCGGAUCGCUAAGUCAGGGGUGAAAUCCCAGGGCCCAACCCUGGAACUGCCUUUAAUACUGACGGUCUGGAGAUCGGGAGAGGUUGGUGGAAUUCCGAGUGUAGAGGUGAAAUGCGCAGAUAUCAGGAGGAACACCAAUAGCGAAGGCAGCGCGCUGGGACGGUACUGACGCUAAGGCGCGAAAGCGUGGGGAGCGAACAGG